AAUAUUGGACAAUGGGGGCAACCCUGAUCCAGCCACGCCGCGUGAGUGAAGAAGGUUNNNGGAUCNUCAAACUCUGUUGUCGGNGAGNAACAAGUGGGAGAGUAACUGCUCCCGCCUUGACGGUACCCGACCAGAAAGCCACGGCUAACUACGUGCCAGCAGCCGCGGUAAUACGUAGGUGGCAAGCGUUGUCCGGAUUUAUUGGGCGUAAAGCGAGCGCAGGCGGUUCCUUAAGUCUGAUGUGAAAGCCCACGGCUCAACCGUGGAAGGUCAUUGGAAACUGGGGAACUUGAAUGCAGAAGAGGAGAGUGGAAUUCCAUGUGUAGCGGUGAAAUGCGUAGAUAUAUGGAGGAACACCAGUGGCGAAGGCGACUCUCUGGUCUGUAAUUGACGCUGAGGCUCGAAAGCGUGGGGAGCAAAC
rnacentral:rRNA from 1 species